rnacentral:rRNA from 1 species
AUUGAACGCUGGCGGCAGGCCUAACACAUGCAAGUCGAGCGAUGAAGUUUCCUUCGGGAAACGGAUUAGCGGCGGACGGGUGAGUAACACGUGGGUAACCUGCCUCAUAGAGGGGAAUAGCCUCCCGAAAGGGAGAUUAAUACCGCAUAAUAUUACAGUUUCGCAUGAAACAGUAAUUAAAGGAGCAAUCCGCUAUGAGAUGGACCCGCGGCGCAUUAGCUAGUUGGUGAGGUAACGGCUCAACAAGGCGACGAUGCGUAGCCGACCUGAGAGGGUGAUCGGCCACAUUGGGACUGAGACACGGCCCAGACUCCUACGGGAGGCAGCAGUGGGGAAUAUUGCACAAUGGGGGAAACCCUGAUGCAGCAACGCCGCGUGAGUGAUGACGGUCUUCGGAUUGUAAAGCUCUGUCUUUGGGGACGAUAAUGACGGUACCCAAGGAGGAAGCCACGGCUAACUACGUGCCAGCCGCCGCGGUAACAC